rnacentral:lncRNA from 1 species
AACAUGAAACAUUCUUUUGUUCUCUAAAAUUUAGUUAAUAAGUAAAGAUUAUGCGACUCCCAAAUUGAUUAAGAAAAAUAUUUGUAUUAAUCAUAUGACAUUUAAUAAGAACCGGUCCUGAUAAAGAGUUAAAGACAAACAUUCUACAUAGCUACAACAUCUUAUUGUUUUGCAGAAACAACAUGAGAGAAAGCACAAUACUAAAACUGAAGGUUCUGUUUGCAACUCAAUCUCUGAUUAAGCUGUUACAUGCUUUCUGUGAUUAAGCUGUUACAUGUUUUACGUACACGUUUAUGUUCAGACAGACAUCAUCGCUAAUUAUAAAAAGACAGCAACAAAGAAACACUAGUUAGAACUAAGAUCCAACUUCGUAUCUCCCAUCGUUCUGCAAAGUCAUA